rnacentral:rRNA from 1 species
AUUGAACGCUGGCGGCAGGCCUAACACAUGCAAGUCGAACGAGUGGCGGACGGGUGAGUAAUGGCUGGGAAACUGACUGAUGGAGGGGGAUAACUACUGGAAACGGUAGCUAAUAACGCAUACCAUCGGAGGUGCGCAGAUGGGAUUAGCUAGUAGGGGGGGUAACGGCUUACCUAGGCGACGAGCCCUAGCUGGUCUGAGAGGAUGACCAGCCACACUGGAACUGCGACACGGUCCAGACGCCUACGGGAGGCAGCAGUGGUGAAUAUUGCACAAUGGGCGCAAGCCUGAUGCAGCCAUGCCGCGUGUAUGAAGAAGUCCUUCGUGUUGGAAAGUACUUUCAGCGGGGAGGCGUUACCCGCAGAAGAAGCACCGGCUAACUCCGUGCCAGCAGCCGCGGUAAUAC